CCCUUAGAUGUUCUGGGCUGCACGCGCGCUACACUGAUGCGAUCAACAAGUUUUUCCUAUGUCGAUAGACACGGGUAAUCUUUUGAACUCGCAUCGUGAUGGGGAUAGAUUAUUGUAAUUAUUAAUCUUCAACGAGGAAUUCCUAGUAGGUGCAAAUCAUCAGUUUGCAUCGAUUACGUCCCUGCCCUUUGUACACACCGCCCGUCGCUGCUACCGAUUGGUUGAUCUGGUGAAUUAUUCGGACUGCCGGCUGAAGGGGUUUCCUCAUCUGCCAGCGGAAAGUCUUGUUAACCCUAUCAACUAGAGGAAGCAGGAGUCGUAACA
rnacentral:rRNA from 1 species